GUAGGAUUCGAGCCCAUGGAGAAAGUUGGAGCUGUAGAGCUGUUUUUGGACAAAGUCAUCAAUUCCAUUGCUCUUCCUAUACCAAAUGGCCAGCAUAAUGGUUGAAAUUGCUACAAUAAGCGUUAUGAUCGACAA
rnacentral:lncRNA from 1 species